rnacentral:rRNA from 1 species
AACGAACGCUGGCGGCAUGCCUUACACAUGCAAGUCGAACGGCAGCGGGGGUGCUUGCACCCGCCGGCGAGUGGCGAACGGGUGAGUAAUGCAUCGGAACGUACCCAGUCGUGGGGGAUAACGCAGCGAAAGUUGUGCUAAUACCACAUACGCACUGAGGUGGAAAGCAGGGGACCUUCGGGCCUUGUGCGAUUGGAGCGGCCGAUGUCAGAUUAGCUAGUUGGUAGGGUAAAAGCCUACCAAGGCAACGAUCUGUAGCGGGUCUGAGAGGAUGAGCGGCAAAACUGGAACUGAGACACGGUCCAGGCUCCUACGGGAGGCAGCAGUGGGGAAUUUUGGACAAUGGGGGCAACCCUGAUCCAGCCAUGCCGCGUGAGUGAAGAAGGCCUUCGGGUUGUAAAGCUCUUUCGGCCGGGAAAAAAUCGGGCAGGCUAAUAUCCUGUCUGGAUGAUGGUACCGGAAUAAGAAGCACCGGCUAACUACGUGCCAGCAGCCGCCGUAACAC